rnacentral:pre_miRNA from 1 species
AAACCAGUCAAAGGGCACCUCUUAAUUGGCAGGUAAUAUAUAUAGUCAGAACUUGGUUUCACUCACAAACUUGCCAAAGGAGAGUUGCCCUGUGACUGAUUU